GUUGUACUCCCUCCAUCCUGAAUUAGUUGUCUUAAUAGUUUUGUCUAGGUAUAGAUGUAUCUAGACACAUUAAAGUGUUAGGUAUAUCUGUAUCUAGACAAAACUAAGACAACUAAUUUGGGACGGAGGUAAUAUUAC
rfam:Triticum aestivum genome assembly, contig: Triticum_aestivum_CS42_TGACv1_scaffold_031173_1BL